AAGCUCGUAGUUGAAUUUCGGGAUUGAUUUAUCGGUCGUGCUUUUGUACGUACUGGUAUUAUUGAUUCCUACCUUCUGACGAACCAUGAUGUCAUUAAUUUGGUGUCUUGGGGAAUCAGGACUGUUACUUUGAAAAAAUUAGAGUGUUUAAAGCAGGCUCACGCUUGAAUACAUUAGCAUGGAAUAACGAAAUAGGACGUUUGAUUCUAUUUUGUUGGUUUCUAGGAUCGACGUAAUGAUUAAUAGGGGUAGUUGGGGGCAUUAGUAUUCAAUUGUCAGAGGUGAAAUUCUUGGAUUUAUUGAAGACUAACUACUGCGAAAGCAUUUGCCAAGGAUGUUUUCAUUAAUCAAGAACGAAAGUUAGGGGAUCGAAGACGAUCAGAUACCGUCGUAGUCUUAACCAUAAACUAUGCCGACUAGGGAUCGGAUGAUGUUAAUUUUUUAAUGACUCAUUCGGCGCCUUACGGGAAACCAAAGUGUUUGGGUUCCGGGGGGAGUAUGGUCGCAAGGCUGAAACUUAAAGGAAUUGACGGAAGGGCACCACCAGGGGUGGAGCCUGCGGCUUAAUUUGACUCAACACGGGAAAA
rnacentral:rRNA from 1 species